rnacentral:rRNA from 1 species
UACGGAGGGUGCAAACGUUGCUCGGAAUUAUUGGGCGUAAAGCGCACGUAGGCGGCCGACUAAGUCGGGUGUGAAAGCCCUGGGCUCAACCCAGGAAGUGCACUCGAAACUGACCGGCUUGAAUAUGGAAGAGGGUCGCGGAAUUCCCGGUGUAGAGGUGAAAUUCGUAGAUAUCAGGAGGAACACCGGUGGUGUAGACGGCUUUCUGGACCGACACUGACGCUGAGACACGAAAGCGUGGGUAGCAAACAGG